GAUGAACGCUGGCGGCGUGCUUAACACAUGCAAGUCGAGCGAAGCACUUAGGAAGGAUUCUUCGGAUGAUUUCCUAUUUGACUGAGCGGCGGACGGGUGAGUAACGCGUGGGUAACCUGCCUCAUACAGGGGGAUAACAGUUAGAAAUGACUGCUAAUACCGCAUAAGACCGCAGCACCGCAUGGUGCAGGGGUAAAAACUCCGGUGGUAUGAGAUGGACCCGCGUCUGAUUAGUUAGUUGGUGGGGUAACGGCCUACCAAGGGGACGAUCAGUAGCCGACCUGAGAGGGGGACCGGCCACAUUGGGACUGAGACACGGCCCAAACUCCUACGGGAGGCAGCAGUGGGGAAUAUUGCACAAUGGGGGAAACCCUGAUGCAGCGACGCCGCGUGAGCGAAGAAGUAUUUCGGUAUGUAAAGCUCUAUCAGCAGGGAAGAAAAUGACGGUACCUGACUAAGAAGCCCCGGCUAACUACGUGCCAGCAGCCGCCGUAA
rnacentral:rRNA from 1 species